GGAGCUCUGCUCUACAGCAAACAGAACCCGUCCGCUCCGGUACAAAUCACUGCGAACGGUGCGAAUCUGCCGGGUGGCGAGACCAACGACGGGAGCUACUGGCUCGACUUGCCACGCGAUGCUGCAGCUGCCGAAAAAGUGAGAAGAGGAAAUCUAGAGAGCGCAAUCACGUACCUGCACGUCAAGCCGGUAUUUGGCGGAACGUUCACCGACAUGCAGUUCUGGUUCUACUAUCCUUUCAACGGCCCGGCAACUCUCAAAGUCGGGCUCAUCAACGUCAAGCUCGGGAAAAU
rnacentral:lncRNA from 1 species